rnacentral:lncRNA from 1 species
CUUGGGGAGGCAGAGAUGUAGGGUUCUCUGCCAGAAUCUUUUUCACCCUGAGCCUGGUGGAAGAGGCUUAGGCUCCUUACCCUAGUUUUAGUGAUCGGGUUGCAGAUUUGGGAUGGGAAAGUACAGAGAGAAUCUCUUGUAUACUAUAUGGAAGCAUUACCUGUUCAUAAAAAGCUGAUGGCCUUCUAGCAUAAGGCAGAGUUCUGGAGAGAGACAGGAACCCUGGGAGUUAGUGAGAGGCAAGAAGUUCAACCCAGACUUGGAAGAGAUGGACUUAUGAAACUGAAGAGGGGUACCCAGCCAUGUUGCAGACAUAGACUAAGAUAAACGGGUUAUAUAAAUUAUGAGCUGUUUGAGAGAAUGAGCCAAAGCUUAAGUAAGGCCUGGGCAUUUAUUCAUAAAUAAUUGUCAGAGUCGUUAUUCUGGGAACAAAAGGGCUGGGUAGAAAAGCCCGUGGCUAUAGGAAAGAGAUCUGUUUGGGGCCAGGACCUGAGAGCUCCUGAAACUCAGAGUUGGGACUUCUGCCUGCCACCAUCUGCUUGGCUCUAAGUCUCCAGCACUGACCACAAGCGUUUAUGGUUGAGUGGCACUGACUGGAGCCCAUCACUCCCAGAACACAGGCAUGGCAUAGCAGAGCACAGCUUUAAUCCCAGGACAUGGAAGACAGAGCCAAAGAAGGAGAAUCCCUGAGCUAGAAGCCAGCUUGGUCUACACUGUGCAUUCCAGUUCAACGUGUGUGUGUGUGUGUGUGUGUGUGUGUGUGUGUGUGUGUGUGU